AUUGAACGCUGGCGGCAGGCUUAACACAUGCAAGUCGAGCGGAGAUGAGGUGCCUGCACCUUAUCUUAGCGGCGGACGGGUGGGUAAUGCUUAGGAAUCUGCCUAUUAGUGGGGGACAACAUUCCGAAAGGAAUGCUAAUACCGCAUACGUCCUACGGGAGAAAGCAGGGGAUCUUCGGACCUUGCGCUAAUAGAUGAGCCUAGGUCGGAUUAGCUAGUUGGUGGGGUAAAGGCCUACCAAGGCGACGAUCUGUAGCGGGUCUGAGAGGAUGAUCCGCCACACUGGGACUGAGACACGGCCCAGACUCCUACGGGAGGCAGCAGUGGGGAAUAUUGGACAAUGGGGGGAACCCUGAACCAGCCAUGCCGCGUGUGUGAAGAAGGCCUUAUGGUUGUAAAGCACUUUAAGCGAGGAGGAGGCUACUGAGACUAAUACUCUUGGAUAGUGGACGUUACUCGCAGAAUAAGCACCGGCUAACUCUGUGCCAGCCGCCGCCGUAACAC
rnacentral:rRNA from 1 species